rnacentral:rRNA from 1 species
AGAGUUUGAUCAUGGCUCAGGAUGAACGCUGGCGGCGUGCCUAAAACAUGCAAGUCGAACGGUGGUAGCAAUACUACAGUGGCGAACGGCGGAGUAAUACGUGAACAACGUGCCCCAAAGACUGGGAUAGUCACUGGAAACGGUGGGUAAUACCGGAUGUGGCGCUUUUCUCUCCUGGGAGAAGCGUUAAAUGGUUUUUCGCUUUGGGAGCGGUUCACGGCCUAUCAGGUAGUUGGUGGGGUAAUGGCCUACCAAGCCGACGACGGGUAGCGGGUCUGAGAGGAUGAUCCGCUCGAGUGGGACUGAGACACGGCCCACACACCUACGGGUGGCAGCAGUUGGGAAUCUUGCACAAUGGGGGAAACCCUGAUGCAGCGACGCCGCGUGGAGGAUGAAGGGUCUAGGCCUGUAAACUCCUUUUAUGGGGAAAGACUUAGGACGGUACCCCAUGAAUAAGGACCGGCUAACUACGUGCCAGCAGCCGCGGUAAGACGUAGGGUCCAAGCGUUAUCCGGAUUUACUGGGCGUAAAGCGCGCGUAGGCGGUCUGUUAAGUGCACAAGUGAAAGCUCCGGGCUCAACUCGGAAAUUGCUUUGCAUACUGGCAGGCUGGAGGGACGCAGAGGUCUGUGGAAUUCCUGGUGUAACGGUGAAAUGUGUUGAUAUCAGGAGGAACACCCAUGGCGAAGGCAGCAGACUGGGCGUUUCCUGACGCUGAGGCGCGAAAGCGUGGGUAGCAAACAGGAUUAGAUACCCUGGUAGUCCACGCCCUAAACGAUGGAUACUAGGCGUAGGAGGUAUCGACCCCUCCUGUGCCGCAGCAAACGCAUUAAGUAUCCCGCCUGGGGAGUACGGCCGCAAGGUUGAAACUCAAAUGAAUUGACGGGGACCCGCACAAGCGGUGGAGCAUGUGGUUUAAUUCGAAACAACGCGCAGAACCUUACCAGCCCUUGACAUCCCGAUCGCGGUUACCAGAGAUGGUAUCCUUCAGUUAGGCUGGAUCGGUGACAGGUGCUGCAUGGCUGUCGUCAGCUCGUGUCGUGAGAUGUUGGGUUAAGUCCCGCAACGAGCGCAACCCUCGCCCUUAGUUGCCAUCAUUCAGUUGGGCACUCUAAGGGGACUGCCGGUGAUAAGCCGAGAGGAAGGUGGGGAUGACGUCAAGUCCUCAUGGCCCUUACGGGCUGGGCUACACACGUGCUACAAUGGUGGUGACAGUGGGCAGCGAGACCGCGAGGUCGAGCUAAUCUCCAAAAGCCAUCUCAGUUCGGAUUGCACUCUGCAACUCGAGUGCAUGAAGUUGGAAUCGCUAGUAAUCGUGGAUCAGAAUGCCACGGUGAAUACGUUCCCGGGCCUUGUACACACCGCCCGUCACACCAUGGGAGUUGGUUUUACCCGAAGGUGCUGUGCUAACCGCAAGGAGGCAGGCAACCACGGUAGGGUCAGCGACUGGGGUGAAGUCGUAACAAGGUA